rnacentral:rRNA from 1 species
UACGAAGGGGGCUAGCGUUGCUCGGAAUCACUGGGCGUAAAGCGCACGUAGGCGGCUUUUUAAGUCAGGGGUGAAAUCCUGGAGCUCAACUCCAGAACUGCCUUUGAUACUGAGAAGCUUGAGUCCGGGAGAGGUGAGUGGAACUGCGAGUGUAGAGGUGAAAUUCGUAGAUAUUCGCAAGAACACCGGUGGCGAAGGCGGGUCUCUGGGCCGAUACUGACGCUGAGGAGCGAAAGCGUGGGGAGCGAACGGG